GUGCUGACUUUGGCAGCACAUAUACUAAAACUGGAGCGAUACAGAAAAGAUUAGCAUGACCCCUUUGCGAGGAUGACAGCCAAAUUUGUGAAGUGCUCCACAUUAAA
ensembl:snRNA U6 U6 spliceosomal RNA